CAUUUAUUAGAUAAAAAGCCAGUUCAUGCUUUUAUAGUAUGAAAAUUGGUGAUUUAUAAUAACUUAGCAAAUCGCAAAGUGAAAACAGGCGAUAAAUCAUUCAAGUUUCUGACCUAUCAGCUUUCGACGGUAUGGUAUUGGCUUACCGUGGCAGUGACGGUUAACGGGGGAUUAGGGUUCGAUUCCGGAGAGGGAGCCUGAGAAACGGCUACCACAUCUAAGGAAGGCAGCAGGCGCGCAAAUUACCCAAUUCUAACAGUUUGAGAGAGGUAGUAACAAGAAAUAACAAUACAAGGCAGUUAAAAUGCUUUGUAAUUGGAAUGAUAGAAAUUUAAACCCUUUUUAAAGUAUCAAUUGGAGGGCAAGUCUGGUGCCAGCAGCCGCGGUAAUUCCAGCUCCAAUAGCGUAUAUUAAAAUUGUUGCAGUUAAAAAGCUCGUAGUUGAAGUUCUGCUGAAAGUAACCGGUCUGCUUUUAAUAAAAGUGGUAUCUUGGUAUGUAUUUAGCAAUGAUGUCCUUUGAAGUGUUUUUUACUUUAUUGUAAUAAAGCAUAUUCAGGACUUUUACUUUGAGAAAAUUAGAGUGUUUCUAGCAGGCUAACGCUUUGAAUACUGCAGCAUGGAA
rnacentral:rRNA from 1 species